AUUGAACGCUGGCGGCAGGCCUAACACAUGCAAGUCGAGCGGAUGAAGGGAGCUUGCUCCUGGAUUCAGCGGCGGACGGGUGAGUAAUGCCUAGGAAUCUGCCUGGUAGUGGGGGAUAACGUCCGGAAACGGGCGCUAAUACCGCAUACGUCCUGAGGGAGAAAGUGGGGGAUCUUCGGACCUCACGCUAUCAGAUGAGCCUAGGUCGGAUUAGCUAGUUGGUGGGGUAAAGGCCUACCAAGGCGACGAUCCGUAACUGGUCUGAGAGGAUGAUCAGUCACACUGGAACGGAGACACGGUCCAGACUCCUACGGGAGGCAGCAGUGGGGAAUAUUGGACAAUGGGCGAAAACCUGAUCCAACCAUGCCGCGUGUGUGAAGAAGGUCUUCGGAUUGUAAAGCACUUUAAGUUGGGAGGAAGGGCAGUAAGUUAAUACCUUGCUGUUUUGACGUUACCAACAGAAUAAGCACCGGCUAACUUCGUG
rnacentral:rRNA from 1 species